GGCACUGUGGCUUUGCUGGUUAAUGUACCUGUCUAGUAAACAGGAGAUCCUAGAUCCAAAUCCCGGCAGUGCCC
rnacentral:tRNA from 1 species